ensembl:misc_RNA 7SK 7SK RNA
GGAUGUGAAGGGAUCUGGCUGAGCCUCUGUCUCCCUAGUUAUCUCCAGGGUGGGUUCAGCUGAGCAGGCUGUAUAGGCAGGUGUCCUCUCCUCACUGUUCUCUGUGUGUCCUUCCUGAAGUUGUGCACUGGGUCAGAGAGGACAACCUUCCUUGGUAGGAGAGGACUGAGGAUGAAUAAAUAAAUAAACAAGCAAAUAAAUACACAAAUAAAUUGU